rnacentral:lncRNA from 1 species
UUUGCAUGAGUCUGUUGGUGGGACAGACUAUGUAAAUUCACGAGAAAUAUCAUGUGAGAUGGUUCUGGAUCCUGAUCCAAAGGGUUACACGAUAGUGCCUACUACAAUACAUCCUGGUGAAGAGGCGCCUUUUGUUCUCUCUGUUUUUACCAAAGCCGCCAUAAGUCUUGAAGCUUUAUAAUUUUGCAUUGAUGGCCCAUUUGGUUUGGGUAUGUGUGAGAUGGUUCUCGAUCCUGAUCCAAAGGGUUACACGAUAGUGCCUACUACAAUACAUCCUGGUGAAGAGGCUCCUUUUGUUCUCUCUGUUUUUACCAAGGCCACCAUAAGUCUUGAAGCUUUAUAAUUUUGCAUUGAUGACCCAUUUGGUUUGGGUA